rnacentral:lncRNA from 1 species
CUCUCCAGUGUCCAUGACUGAAAUGGAUUGACGUCCAGGCUCAACCCAGUGAGAUGAGGCUGUAGAUCCCUUGUUCUUCCUGCCCAUCACCUGAUAGUCCCUGGCAGAGAAUCCCAUUGCUGCUGUGCAUCAGGGACUGGUGUCAACCAAAACACCAUACAUACCUGUGACUCAGGCUCACCUCACAAGACUUGUCUGUCUGUCCCUUGUUGUCUCCCUAACAUUUUUCACUGUAAUAUAGAAUCUCACCUGUUGACCACCCAAAAAAAUUCUAAAGUUGUAAUCCCUGGUAUCUUUACAGUUGGGAGAACUGGGCCCCAGUGAGUCAAGUGAUCUUGACUGAAGACACAGAUAUUCAGGGGUUAUCAGAUAUUUCAGAGCAUGCCUCUUUGGAAAUCAACUAGAUAUUUUUCAUUCCAUUCACUAAUAUCAAAACUCUCUAAACCCCAGAUAGCUAUCCAUUCCAGUUGAGAGCCAUGUUGUGGGAGAGCAGACACCAUCUAAUCUUCCCUAGCCCUCUCUGCCUUGGUGAGUGAGGGAAUAGUAACACGACCCCCAGACAUUUUGGGCUCUGUCUCAAAUGGCCAGUUUCCCUCAUGAGAGAGAAUGUUGCUGCACCCCCCCCCCCAACUUCAUGGCUUGGAUAUCACCAAGCUGAUGAUGGACAGUUCCAGUCACAGUUUCUUGAUAUCCUGUGGUCAGUACUCAGGCUCUGAGAAGGGACCCCAGGAGCUGCUUUUCUGCUGUGGAUGGUAUAGUCUUGCUUAGCACUCAAGGGAUCUGGACUGUAAUUCUGUUGUUGGGGUUGCCAAAGGCCACCCACAGCAUGCUUAUCUGCCCCUGAGACCUUUAACACCAUUGGGAUCAUUUGUUAAUGUGACUGGAGUUUACACUACAGCCUGGACCUACUGUAGGACUCCCUAUUUCUCUGAACCCCCCUCAAAACUGGCAGCUUCAAGGACCCCCAAAAUGGGUUAAAGUAAUAUCCUCUAGGUUGUGGUAUAUGAAAUUCUUCACUCAUAGGAAUGGGAGAGGGAGCCUAGAAUAGUGGAUGCUGUCUCUCAAAUGCAAGCGCUGUGCUUCCUUCUUAGCAGGAAGUGGUCAGAGAGGAAUACUUGUCUCAUACCUUAGAAGGGAUGUUGUGGCCUGACCACAGACUACUGAACCCCUAAAAACUUAUUGAUGUGGUACUCUCCCACAUUUUUGUAGGGUUUAUCACCUACCCUCUGGCAUGCAUGUAUGUCUUGGGCAUUCAGAAAAUUGUCGGCAUGAAUGUGAUGCAACAUGCUAUUUGUUAAUGUGAAAGCAGCUACUGGAACAAGGGAUAGGUGACUGAAGGGAUCUGAAGUGGUAUGUAACAGGUGUCCCACACAUGCUGUGUGCAUGACACAUCAAGUAGGCAAAGAUGGGCAAAAGUGUUGAAGAUUGGGGGAAAAAAACAGACAUGACCUUGGACACAGAUCUGAGCCCAAUAAUUUAGACUAUAUAUAGUUUCAAGUACUUAUGAAACACUUAGAAAAUGACCGGACACUAAGCCACGAGGCAAGUUUCAACAGACUUCAGGACAUUGCUAUCAUCCUGUCUUGGACUGGUUUUCCCAGAAAUGAGAGCCUUGAAAACAACUCAGGUGCAGGUGGUAUUUGGGAGGUGAUCCCCAGGAGGAGUGAGG